ensembl:lncRNA
CUUUUUUUUUUUAACAAUCAAACACUGCAAUUACGAUAAGAUUGUACUUGGUUUUUCAGGCCGAGUGUGUAGGGUCUUGUGUUUACAGCUUUAACGCUUAAAAACAAGGCAUUGCGGGUUUACUCCUGGGCGCCGUUAUUGGAAGCUGCUGCACUUUGAGGAACAAGACCAUCUGAGACAUUUUGUACCACAUGUGUGGAGUUUGUCACGGCUCAGAGAAUACCACAAUGAGGGAGAUGUUUGCAACUGGUUGCCAUGGAGUUUCACAGCUGUGUCUUCUAGCCUCUAAUGAGGUACUGCAGCUGUCAUACUGGUUAACCUUGGCAUGAUUCAGAAACGAAGAGGGAACCUCACCUCUGAUGGCUUCUUGUGCUGGAGGCGGACCCAGGUGCUGUUGGUGCCCGUGUUCUUGGAUGAACUGGACCAAGACAUCACCUGACCUAUUGGGGAAACACCCCCACAGCAAAGAGGUCUGGUCUCUGCGCCCCGACUGGUUUCCUCCCAGUGCCGAUGAAGGGUGAAGAAGAAGAGAUGCUUUCAGGGAGAUGACUCAGAAAAAGAUUGCGAGCCAGUUUCGCAACGGUCCUCCGAAAAAACACAGCGCCUUGUUUUAGUUGCUGGGUCUGUCGCUCCUGAGCCCGACCUGAACACCGCUAUCUGCACGAACACCCCCAGACCAGUCCCGCUUCCUCACUCGAUCUACCGGUCCUGCUUCCUCACUACAUCUACCAGUCCUGCUUCCUCACUAGAUCUAUCAUCAGCCUGUGAACUCUUUUGGCGCCAUAUUUAUGGCGUACUUUUAAUUCCCAGCGCUGAGUGUGUGAGCGCUUCCUACUUCACGAAGACAGGGGAACGACGCCUCGAACAGGACGACAAGGGGAUAAUAUCAUAAUGUAUUGCAGCGAAAAAAGUUAAACACGUACAGCUUCUUCAUUUUUUAAAGAUGGAAGAAAACGUAACAGAAACAUCUCAGUCAUGUACUUUAUCUGAUGGGAUUGUUUGUUAGGUUCAAAGUAUUUUUUUAUUAUUAUUAUUUAUUCAUACGCGGACUAUACGUAAGAAUACAGAGAUCGUUGUAGCCUAGUACGACCAUGAUAACAUAACAAAACGGUUGGUCAUUAAAAAUGAAAUAUAAACAUCUUUCCAUCUUCUUUCUACUUGACCGUUUUCGU